rnacentral:rRNA from 1 species
GCAUUAUAAAAAGAUUACGCGGUCCGGAUUUAAGCGUGUAAAACAAAUUCAUUGCUGUUUCUCGAAUACAUGUGUGGUAGUGCAAGGCUGUUGUCAGUUCGCGGCGUGAUUCAAAUAUAUUAAGUAAAUGCUUUCAGGACUAGGGUGUUCAGGACUUGAUGACCAUCGUUAACAAGCACAGUAAAGCGUACGAGUGCUUCAAUAUUUUUUAUAAAAGUCGGGUCGUAUCUGGUGGUUUACUUUUUGAUGGGCACAUGCUUCUUAAAUAGUCAGUCUGCCUCUAGCAAUAAUAGGUCUGUGAUGCCCUUAGAUGCUCUUGGCUACAUGC